rnacentral:rRNA from 1 species
CCUUCGGGUUGUAAAGCACUUUUGUUCGGAACGAAACGGCGAAUGCUAAUACCAAUCGCUAAUGACGGUACCGGAAGAAUAAGCACCCGGCUAACUACGUGC